rnacentral:rRNA from 1 species
AUACGGAGGGUGCGAGCGUUAUCCGGAUUUAUUAGGUUUAAAGGGUGUGUAGGCGGGAGCCUAAGUCAGUGGUGAGAUCUCACAGCUUAACUGUGAAACUGCCAUUGAAACUGGGUUUCUUGAGUAUAGUUGAGGUAGGCGGAAUGUGUAAUGUAGCGGUGAAAUGCAUAGAUAUUACACAGAACACCGAUUGCGAAGGCAGCUUACUAAGCUAUUACUGACGCUGAUGCACGAAAGCGUGGGUAGCGAACAGGAUUAGAAACCCCGGUAGUCC